CGUCAGAAAGCUAAUUUCCAUGAGACCAGGAUGGAAUGGAUAUUUCAACGUGUCAGUAUGACUUUUUAAGAAUAGCUGCACCACGGGAGACUACUUGCUUCAGACUGAUCAGAUGGAAGAAAAGGCUGUCAACUUAGCUUGACACAAACUGCAAAUUUGACUGAAAAAAAGUUCCUGAAAAAUUGUAUGGUUUGUUGUUUAAGUUCAUGCAGCUUACUCCAUCCUGUACUUGGCUUCAGUGGAGAUUCCUUACUGGCCUGACACAUCUUCGUGAAUUGCUUGCUCCUCCCUCCGUCUGUGGUUGCCUACAUUCUUAUUAGGUCUCAAACCUGGAGGAAGGAGAGAGGAACCUCCUGCUGUUGAAUGCAGUCCUCCACUGCCCAGCUCUGCCGGAUCCUCAGCUCGCACCAAGCAGGCACUGGGCUGUGCUGUUAACGUGUCUGGGCUUUCCAGAGCCUCAGCAGGAUUUAGCAGUCACGAUGUCCGACUCCAGUCCCUCCAGAGCACAGACCACUCCUGUUGACCCGACUGCCUGAAGUCCUCAGCCAUCAGGAGAGUAUUGGCAAGAAGCAGUGUGUACCAGGACAAAUUCCUGCCAAUCCUAUGCUGAGUAAAGCAAGAGGAAUUGCCUGUGAACAGAGAGAGCACCCUCAACAUCAGGAUUCAUUCCAGCACUUUGGAUUUCCCGGGGAUGACUGCAGCUUUAAGAGAGGACUUUGACCCACUGGAGAAGAGGGUAACGCAUAGGAAAGGGAGAGCGAACUGUCUUCUGUUGUUGAUUUUUUACUAAACCAACUGAUUUCCAAAUGCAAGGGUGGAUGGUGACUGUGCUGUAGCUAUCUGCCACCUUGUCUUUCUGGAAGAGCGCAUACAGCCUACCUGAUCUGCCAUGGGCUGCUGCUUUGCUGUAACUUUGACCGAUGGCAAAUGAUGGGACCAGGAAAUAAAGGUCUGCUCUCAGCACUCAGUAACACUACCAAGGAGGGCAGGACCUUGACCACGUGGAACAUCUAUCCAGGUUUGGAAAAGGUUACCUACAACAGACUCAAAGUUGUUUAUCAGUUUCCACAUGUCUAACCUCCAUCUGAGUGCUCAGAAUUGGGGUGCUUGUACUUAGGUUUCAAAUCAGUAUGCCCUGGUAAGCCUCAUGGCUCCGAAUCAGCAUGAUGUUAACUUUCUGAAAGCAAGAAUCUGUGGCUCCUAGAAUUUCUUGAGAAGAUUGCAUAUGCAUGUGAUGGAUCCCCUUCUAAAGAAGCCAUCUGCAGAAGGCUCUUGCAUACUAGCUUCGUGCACCUCCUUGGCUGCCUGCCUUCUUUUGGAGAAGACGACUCUAUUCACUCCUCUGACCUGAGGCUCAGUUCAUCAGAUUCCGAAGCCAUCCCUGCCUGGGCAAAGUGACUAUCUCUGGUGGGGCCGGGGGCGAGGAAGGAAGGAAGGAGCACACUCUUAUCUGAACUGCAAACCUAUCGCUUACAAUAGUUUUCAUGAGGGGUGACAAGUCUCUUAUUUCUUCAGAAUGUUUAUUUCCAUUUUACACAUGCUCCCAACUUCCCUCCCUCCUUGCACUUUUCUUGCUUUUGUACCCUGUAACUUUCAUCAGUUUGUUUCUUUCCUUUCAGAUGUGUUCAAGGCGCAGCAAGAGUUGAUACAAUCUAAUACAAACUUCCCUGUUUGCUGUAUCAUAAAAUGUAGUGCCUGGUGUGUUCAUUCCCCUCCUGUCAUCAAGUGCCAGCUACAGCAGUGCUUAAUACCUCCAGGUUCUUCCUGCUGUCAUUUUCACUUCCCCCCGAGGACUAAACAUUUAAAAACCAAGAAAUCCUAACUGAGAUCCUAAGUAACACUUGAACCACGCUGAUCUUAGGUAAACAGUUCCCAGAGUGUUACCAUUCCUGAUGUUGAAAGAGCAGAUCAGUGAAAGAAAAGAAUGUGCGUACAGAUUCUUGGUAAUCAGACAGCCAGCUAAUUUCUCAAUAUUGAAAGAUUCCUUUUGAAGCCAUUAAUUUUAUUUACAUUUCAACUG